GUGUUUAUUGAUUCUUCUUUAUCUUUCUCUUCAUUUCCUUUUUCUAUUUCUUUAUUCCUGAAAUAAUUUAAUAGAGC
rnacentral:ribozyme from 10 species